ACAACAUAAUCGAUAAACCAAAUCAAAAUUGAAAAUCCGAUGGUAAUUAUGAUAAUUGCUAUAUUAAUAAACGGAUUAAAAAUUGACAUAAUUAUUUUUACAUAAGCAUUGACAAAUUAGUACAGCAACUAUUACAUUUUUUAAUUAUUUCAAAAUGAUUUUAUGUCUAUAAUGACAUUUGAAUAGAAGUUUAAAAUAAUCUGUACUGUGUACACAGAUACUUCUGUACACUCAAAAAUUGUUUUAAUUACCGAAUAAGCAUUUUUGAGUAUACAAGAUUGUAUUUGUCAUGAACUAUCUUUAUCAGAUAUAAUUUUAUAAAAACAUCAUUUAUAGUGAUGCCAUAACCUACAUUAAUCACACCUUAAGAUUAUUAUUAUCCAAAUAAUCAAGGUGCUCAAACAAAAAUUUGCUAUUAUUUUACCGUAAAAUGUCUGUCGUAAAUUGGAGGUAAACGAAUUCAAGUUUGAGCUGUCGAGCUGACUAUCCUUGAAUUUGAUAGCAAAUAAACGUCAACUUUGUUCAGUUUUCUAACUACAACAUGAGCAUAACACACGGUGUAAAUUAACAGAAAGUUAACUGAAAAUUUUGAUCUUCAACUCUUGCUAGCAAUUUGCUGCCCAAUUUUAACCGCAUUUUGGUCAAGUUAAAUCUUUAAAUUGACAUUAAUAUGCAAUAAACAUGGUUACCAGGUUUUUGCUAACAAUCCUUAUUUAGCCUCUCAUUAUUAACUAUUUCAAUUUAUUUUAGGACGAGACUAUUCGCACCCAGGCGUGUAUGCAGCGUAUAAAAUUUUGGGAAGUUAUUGUUUUCACCCCGAUUCGCGAAAAUUGGAAUUCCAACAGAUGUCGACAUUUUGAGGUUCUAGGAAACUAUUCUAACUAGAUUCAAGAUGAUGUCCGAGUGUAUCUCUAGAACUCAAUAAAACGCGUCGAUUGCCACCUCAACCGUCUCAACCGGUGAAUUCGUUCGAGAGAUAUCGUUGUAGAAAAAAUGGUAAACGUUAUUUUUCGAAAUCAAAGGCAUACAAAAGUAUUUUCGAGCUCGAAGAGCUCAAAAAUGUAUUCUCAACAAUGAUUUCGAACUCAAGGAGCUCGAAAGCAGCGGGAAGUUUUGGGGCUGACUCGCAGGAUCAACUGACAACAAUUUUUGUUAUUUAUUACAGUGCUUCCGUCUAAACUUAUCUAUGUGGUCUCAUGAUAUUUAUCGAUGUUCAAGUCAAAUUAGAAUAUAUUUUGAUUUCACAAUACUGUGAAUUGUGAUACUUGAGUAAUAAAUAAAUAUCCAUAAAAAUCAA